UUGUGGAGGAGGACGCCGAAGGUGGGGCUAAUGACUGGGGUGAAGUCGUAACAAGGUAGCCGUACCGGAAGGUGCGGCUGGAUCACCUCCUAACAGGGAGACAACAAAAUGUUUAAUAUUAUUAUUUUGUCACCUUAGGUCGAUCGGUAUCUCACGUUCUUAAUUUAUUAAGAAUUUCAUUUCCUAAGUUUUUUCUAGGUCACACCCAUUAUUUUUCCUGGGCCAUUAGCUCAGGUGGUUAGAGCGCACCCCUGAUAAGGGUGAGGUCCCUGGUUCAAGUCCAGGAUGGCCCAUAUCUCUAUGUUGGGGGUAUAGCUCAGUUGGUAGAGCGCCUGCUUUGCAAGCAGGAUGUCAGCGGUUCGAGUCCGCUUACCUCCACUGAUUACCACCUCUUACAUAAUCUUUGAGAAGGAAAUGUUUUGAGUAGUGAUCAAAUUCUGAACGAAUCUAGCUUCCUAAUGAAAGCAUUAAGAUGCUGGACUCAUUGAAUUAAUUUCAUUGUUUUCAGAGAACCUUGACAACUGCAUAGAUUAUUUUUAAAGACAAUAAGCAUCUUUAAUGAUGCAGAUUUAUUAUUUGUGCGAAUGCAUUAAUAACAAUUCUAUUAAGCUGAUGCUUCAAUUAUUGAAGUUAUUGGUCAAGCUACAA
rnacentral:misc_RNA from 1 species